ensembl:lncRNA
GAAAAGCUCUGUUCUGCUCCCAGACUAGCAGUGAUACCAUCUUGUUGGAAUCUCUGUUUUUGAGAUCUGCCCCAAAGAGACCCAGUGAAAGCUGAGAUUGUGAAGCAGCUCUCCAACAAGAAGAGAAACGCAAUACCUGAACCCAGGAACUCUUUCAGCAUUCAGUGAACCGCAGAAAGAUUUAGGAAAGAGGAAAGCAGAAAUGGGUGUGCUUUUUCCAUUUGUUUCAUGCGACAGAAGUUUCCUAGGAAGGGCCAGUCCUGUAAGAAAAGUAGCGGACAAAAUUACAUGGAUGAUACAGAUGGAGGGAGCACACAGGAAGAAGAGAAUGUUGUAUUACUGAGUUUGGACUCUCAGAGUAUGUUUGACAUAAAUUUAUGCUUGCAUCUACUUAUCAACACAUAAUUGCCUCUAAUGAAACACGUACUUGAUAAGAUGAAAGGGAAUGCAUUGUGAUGUGGCUCUUUAAAAUCUGGGCUGACCUGAGCUUUUAUCUACAGGAAUGAUCAGAGGGGAAGAGACCUGGAGUCUGCCAAACUUUCAAGGGGAAGGUCAAGUGUUUGGCACACCAAACAAAGAAGAACUGUUUGGAUAAUGUAUAGAAGGAAGAGGAAAGGUGGAACUGGCAGCAGGGAAGCAAGUGGUUACAAUAGCAGGAAUGGGACUUAAUUUAUCUCUGUAAAAUGGAAUAAAAUCUGUUGUUAGAUAGCCAACUAGAUGGUAUGUUUCACUGAGAUUUUCCUGAAUUGAAACUGGCCUUUGUAUACUUUGAAAGGUGUUCUGUGAUCUUUAAAAGGAGAGUGAGCUGGCCAUAAGACAAGCCAAUAGAGUCCGCUUUACGGUACUAAAAAAGAUAGCUAUGUGUGACCCAGUUAAUUUUCACAUCUCUUCUCUUAAGAAACUACUCCAUCAAAUAAUCAACUUUCUUUUUUAAUUUUGAAAUGGAAGAAACAGAAUAUGCUUCAUGGAACAUUUCUUUAAAAAAAAAAAAGCCUUUUAGUAAAAAAAAAAAGGGAAAAAAGAAAAACAACACAUUUGCUGUGUGUAUCCAGCUAUCUGUGCUUUCUGUCACUUUGAACACUUUGGCCACCAGGUGUGGUCAGUGUUUUUGGACACUCCUAUCCGUCCCCAUGACCUUUUUAAUAUCUCUUCAUCCAAAUUGUUGCUGCUGCAUUUAUUCUUAGCACUCAUAUAAAACAAGCCACUUUCAGAGUCUAUAUUCUCACAAAGACCCUUGAGUUAAUGGUGUAUGGAAAUUUCCACAGGGGUCUGCCUAUAAUGACUUCCAACUCACUAUUCCCAGAUUUGAGUUAGUAAAUCAGAAAGAUAUUUUCUUAUGUUUUUGGUGGGGAGGAGGAAUGACAGGGAGGAGAGAGAGAUCGCUGUUAAGUUUAGUAAAUGUAACCUCUUUGGCACUGCUUUUCCAUAUGCAGAGACCAAAUUCUUCCUUAUUCAUUUGUAAUCUUUUUGUUUUGCCCCACCCUUUUCUUCCCACCCUCUCAGUUAUGGGCAGGACCAAAUAUUAUGCUUAGUUGGCUCAUUGUGGAGUGAAAUAGAUUUUUAGUGGAAUUAAUUAAUGGAAUUUCUUUUACAUUUACAAUUACAUAGUUAAUGAGAGGGUCUGACCUCGGGAAGAUGCAUUGCCUUUUUUUGCUUUUGCUGAGCAUUGUUCCCAGUGACACAGCAGCCAUGUACAAAGGGGAAAAUAUAAAUUGCUUUUAAAGUGACAAAGCUAUGUAUUAAAAAAAAAAGAACAUUUAGUUUUGAAAACAUAAAUCUUUCACUGAAUAAAUAUUUAUCUUGACUAUUUAUAAUGUC